GUGCCAGCAGCCGCGGUAAUACGAAGGGUGCAAGCGUUAUCCGGAUUCACUGGGUUUAAAGGGUGUGUAGGCGGGCCUGUAAGUCAGUGGUGAAAUCUCCGGGCUCAACCCGGAAACUGCCAUUGAUACUAUAGGUCUUGAAUUUUGUUGAGGUUGGCGGAAUAAGUCAUGUAGCGGUGAAAUGCAUAGAUAUGACUUAGAACACCGAUUGCGAAGGCAGCUAACUAAGCAAACAUUGACGCUGAGGCACGAAAGCGUGGGGAUCAAACAGGAUUAGAUACCCGAGUAGUAC
rnacentral:rRNA from 1 species